GACGAACGCUGGCGGCGUGCCUAACACAUGCAAGUCGAACGGGGUAAUCCUUCGGGGUUACUUAGUGGCGAACGGGUGAGUAACGCGUGAGAAACCUGCCUCUCAGUGGGGGACAACAGUUGGAAACGACUGCUAGUACCGCAUAAUGCAGCUAGACCGCAUGGUCUUACUGCCAAAGCUUUAAGUGCUGAAAGAUGGCCUCGCGUCUGAUUAGCUAGUUGGUGGGGUAACGGCUCACCAAGGCGACGAUCAGUAGCCGGUCUGAGAGGAUGAACGGCCACAUUGGGACUGAGAUACGGCCCAGACUCCUACGGGAGGCAGCAGUGGGGAAUAUUGGGCAAUGGGGGAAACCCUGACCCAGCAACGCCGCGUGAAGGAAGAA
rnacentral:rRNA from 1 species